rnacentral:rRNA from 1 species
GCUUUACACAUGCAAGUCGAACGGUAGGGGGGGCAACCCCUCGAGAGUGGCGAACGGGUGAGUAAUAUAUCGGAACGUGCCCAGUCGUGGGGGAUAACGUAGCGAAAGUUACGCUAAUACCGCAUACGAUCUACGGAUGAAAGCGGGGGACCGUAAGGCCUCGCGCGAUUGGAGCGGCCGAUAUCAGAUUAGGUAGUUGGUGGGGUAAAGGCUCACCAAGCCAACGAUCUGUAGCUGGUCUGAGAGGACGACCAGCCACACUGGAACUGAGACACGGUCCAGACUCCUACGGGAGGCAGCAGUGGGGAAUUUUGGACAAUGGACGCAAGUCUGAUCCAGCCAUUCCGCGUGCAGGAUGAAGGCCCUCGGGUUGUAAACUGCUUUUGUACGGAACGAAAAGGUCUCUCUUAAUACGAGGGGCUCAUGACGGUACCGUAAGAAUAAGCACCGGCUAACUACGUGCCAGCAGCCGCGGUAAUACGUAGGGUGCAAGCGUUAAUCGGAAUUACUGGGCGUAAAGCGUGCGCAGGCGGUUAUGUAAGACAGAGGUGAAAUCUCCGGGCUCAACUUGGGAACUGCCUUUGUGACUGCAUAGCUAGAGUACGGUAGAGGGGGAUGGAAUUCCGCGUGUAGCAGUGAAAUGCGUAGAUAUGCGGAGGAACACCGAUGGCGAAGGCAAUUCCCUGGACCUGUACUGACGCUCAUGCACGAAAGCGUGGGGAGCAAACAGGAUUAGAUAC